UGGGGAAUUUUGCGCAAUGGGGGAAACCCUGACGCAGCAACGCCGCGUGGAGGAUGAAGUACUUCGGUACGUAAACUCCUUUCGAUCGGGACGAUUAUGACGGUACCGAGAGAAGAAGCCCCGGCUAACUUCGUGCCAGCAGCCGCGGUAAUACGAGGGGGGCGAGCGUUGUUCGGAAUUAUUGGGCGUAAAGGGUGCGUAGGCGGUUUGGUAAGUCUGAUGUGAAAUCUAUGGGCUCAACUCAUAGUCUGCAUCGGAAACUGCCGGGCUUGAGUAUGGGAGAGGUGAGUGGAAUUCCUGGUGUAGCGGUGAAAUGCGUAGAUAUCAGGAGGAACACCUGUGGCGAAAGCGGCUCACUGGACCAUAACUGACGCUGAUGCACGAAAGCUAGGGGAGCAAACAGGAUUAGAUACCCUGGUAGUCCUAGCCCUAAACGAUGACUGCUUGGUGUGACGGGUACCCAAUCCCGCCGUGCCGUAGCUAACGCGUUAAGCAGUCCGCCUGGGGAGUACGGUCGCAAGGCUGAAACUUAAAUGAAUUGACGGGGUCAUAGCUGUUUCCU
rnacentral:rRNA from 1 species